CUUCGAAUGUUGAGAGAUAUC
rnacentral:misc_RNA from 1 species